GUGGGGAAUAUUGCACAAUGGGGGAAACCCUGAUGCAGCGACGCCGCGUGAGUGAAGAAGUAUUUCGGUAUGUAAAGCUCUAUCAGCAGGGAAGAUAAUGACGGUACCUGACUAAGAAGCCCCGGCUAACUACGUGCCAGCAGCCGCGGUAAUACGUAGGGGGCAAGCGUUAUCCGGAUUUACUGGGUGUAAAGGGAGCGUAGGUGGCAUGGUAAGUCAGAUGUGAAAGCCCGGGGCUCAACCCCGGGAUUGCAUUUGAAACUAUCAAGCUAGAGUGCAGGAGAGGUAAGUGGAAUUCCUAGUGUAGCGGUGAAAUGCGUAGAUAUUAGGAGGAACACCAGUGGCGAAGGCGGCUUACUGGACUGUAACUGACACUGAGGCUCGAAAGCGUGGGGAGCAAACAGGAUUAGAAACCCUAGUAGUCC
rnacentral:rRNA from 1 species